rnacentral:rRNA from 1 species
UGGGGAAUAUUGGACAAUGGGGGCAACCCUGAUCCAGCAAUGCCGCGUGUGUGAAGAAGGUCUUCGGAUUGUAAAGCACUUUCGACGGGGACGAUGAUGACGGUACCCGUAGAAGAAGCCCCGGCUAACUUCGUGCCAGCAGCCGCGGUAAUACGAAGGGGGCUAGCGUUGCUCGGAAUGACUGGGCGUAAAGGGCGUGUAGGCGGUUUACACAGUCAGAUGUGAAAUCCCCGGGCUUAACCUGGGAGCUGCAUUUGAUACGUGUAGACUAGAGUGUGAGAGAGGGUUUGUGGAAUUCCCAGUGUAGAGGUGAAAUUCGUAGAU